rnacentral:rRNA from 1 species
AUUGAACGCUGGCGGCAGGCUUAACACAUGCAAGUCGAGCGGGGUGAUGGUGCUUGCACUAUCACUUAGCGGCGGACGGGUGAGUAAUGCUUAGGAAUCUGCCUAUUAGUGGGGGACAACAUCUCGAAGGGGAUGCUAAUACCGCAUACGUCCUACGGGAGAAAGCAGGGGAUCACUUGUGACCUUGCGCUAAUAGAUGAGCCUAAGUCGGAUUAGCUAGUUGGUGGGGUAAAGGCCUACCAAGGCGGCGAUCUGUAGCGGGUCUGAGAGGAUGAUCCGCCACACUGGGACUGAGACACGGCCCAGACUCCUACGGGAGGCAGCAGUGGGGAAUAUUGGACAAUGGGGGGAACCCUGAUCCAGCCAUGCCGCGUGUGUGAAGAAGGCCUUAUGGUUGUAAAGCACUUUAAGCGAGGAGGAGGCUCUUUUGGUUAAUACCCAAGAUGAGUGGACGUUACUCGCAGAAUAAGCACCGGCUAACUCUGUGCCAGCAGCCGCGGUAA